GAUGAGGAAUAUACUACUGUGGCAAAGGAGGAAAGAAAAUAAAUACAAAUAAAGAGGGCUUCGUAAAUUCCAAAUAUGCAUAUGAAUAUGGAAACAGGACAACUUGUUUAUCUGUCUUAGAACCAGUGUCUGCUGAUGCGGAGCGCUUCAACACCUCCUCCACAUCUCUUGUAUCAGACUCUAUGCUCUGCUUCAAGAUGCUGUUCGGUGCGUGUCCAGUGUGUGUUCUCUUCUUCUCUCUUCUCUCCUCCAUCUGUGUGUACUGCUUCUGUCAGAGGAAAACUACAGGUUCUGGAAUGCUGACUGAGAAUGGACGUGAUGAGGGUGGUGAAGUGUGCUAUGCCUCAUUGGACAUGCCUUCCAUACAGCAAAAAAUGCAAAA